CAACCUGGAAUUAGAUGGAACAACUACAGUUAAAGAUGCACUUGCAAAAUUAAAUAAAUAUUGUUUCAUAUAAACAUCGCCUAUUGUUCCGGAUUAAUGUGAGUCAAGGCCUCCGGUUGAUAACAGCAAAAGCGCACAUACCUGCUGCAAUGUGUAGAAGAUGAGAAGCAACCACCGCAGACAGCAGAAAUCUGAGGUAGUUCUCUUCUCGUCAAGAAAUAAAGCAUUACAGUAUGUGCAUAAUCCCAGUGAUGAACGCACAUCUUGGCCAAGGUGUUGACCUUCCUUACAUCCUGUCCCUGCUCACCUGACACUGUGGGCUGGUUUAGAGCAAUGAGCAAUGGAUUAUGUAAAAAAAACUGCAAACCAUUUUCAAGGUUUUAUUUCCAAUCACCAGCCAGAUAAUGAUGUGCUACUAUAGCCCUUUAAUGGCUGUGCCUUAUGCAGAAUUAGUCACUUAGGCCCAUGACCCCACAGACAGGCCAAGUAUGUCAGCUUGAAUAAUGCUAUAAUGUGAUGGGGGAAUGUACUGUAUGCGGAAAGUUGCCAGAUUAUUAGGCUUUCUCUCUGCUUUGUGUGGGUCAUAGCUGUUGUGCUCGAUGAAUCAUUAUAAGCAUAACUGCAGUGACCCACGAUAAACCCAGCUCUUCAGUUAGAGUUUGUGCAUAUUAUCCAUGUUGUGAUGUGAAAGUGUAAGCAGCAGAGAAAGUCAAAUGAGUAAGGACAUCUGCUGGAACACACCAGGUAAACUGAGUAAAUCUGAGCACCCUAAAAAGGGAAGAAAAAACAUUGCACUUCAUUCAAGAAAAAGAAGGGACCAAAAUCGAAUUUCAUGAGGCUUUGUGUCUCAGUAACACAAAUAAACAAAUUAUAGCUUAACAUUGCUUUUGAAGUUACUAAUAGCCACUUAGAUCAGUAAAUUAAAUUCAUGUUUCAUACCAUAAAGCAAAAAUGCUUAUUUUAUAUCCAUAAUCCAUGUGAACACUGCUCUGAAAGGCUAACAUUCCCAAAUAGAGGGUUGAAUUCUAAAAUGCUCUCUUUGAGGAAUUGGCUAAAGAUGGCACUAGGAUGUCUGCAUAUAUGCAUUUAGAGUUGGUGGUGUAAAAUCACAAGUGAUUCUGAAUUUGUGGUUUGUUGUCAGGAAAGAAAAAGAGGCACAUUUUGCAUCCAUUAGCUUAACAGAAAGUAACUGCAUGCUGACCAGAUGUUUCUGAACAAAAAGCUCACAUAAGCUUGUAGGUGCAAUAGAUUUUAGGUGGAGAAGUUGUACCCUUGAGGCUCCAGUAGACAAGGAUUUUUGUAUUUUAUGCCCACUCCUAUCAGAGGCCACUGCAAUUUUAAAGAUAUUUGCAUCAUUAGCAUCAACAUCAUCUAGUGUAAACACAGAAAUCAUAGAAACUUGUUCUUUUAUCUUCAUUUACAAAACAUAUUCUGGCAUCCGACCACCUACAAGUUGCAAUUUCCAAGAGCAUAACUUAUUGACUCUGUCACUGGGAGAAAGUGCUGAAUGUUGAGACAGCUAUUUUCUUUCAUUUAGUGAGUUACUGAACAAGAGAAAAUAAACUGGCUCACUGAACCUUUUUUGCUGAUAUGUCUUAAAUGCUUAUUUGGUGCAGCCUCUCAAUAGUACUAUGUGCAGAAA